rnacentral:rRNA from 1 species
AGAGUCAACGCUGGCGGCGUGCCUAACACAUGCAAGUCGCACGAGAAAGGGUAGCAAUACCUGAGUAUAGUGGCGCACGGGUGAGUAACACGUGAAUUAUCUACCUCCGAGUGGGGAAUAACUGAGAGAAAUCUCAGCUAAUACCGCAUAACACUUACGAGUCAAAGCAGCAAUGCGCUCGGAGAGGAGUUCGCGGCCGAUUAGUUAGUUGGCGGGGUAAUGGCCCACCAAGACGAUGAUCGGUA